rnacentral:lncRNA from 1 species
GGCCAAGCUACUUACUAGACACUCAAUCCGGGCCAAGCGUAUACUGCAAAAGCAUAGAAAGAGACGACACUUAUUCCUUGCCAUAUCUAGAAGUGGCCUUCCUUGAUGUAUGGCGAGGUGGAUCUCUAGAACCUGUAUAUAACCCCGACCCUCCGGAAUAUUUCUUAGAAUACCAACCCCCCGAACCUCUUACUAUUUAUUAUAAAGAAAAGGAUACUUGCACUAGCAGCCUAUUAUGUCCUAUUCCAAUCUAUAUCUGCGUUAUUCAAUCUAUAUGCAAAGGCUCCGGCCCUUAGAGCUAUAAAGCAAAAGACAUAGAAAGGAUCUACCAUAAGAAGAAAGUAUUAUCCGCCACCACUCUAUCAGCUAAAUAUCAAUAGCCCUCCCCUGUUUAGACAGCAACUUACUCUAUAAUAGAAACAGCCUCAUAUAAUAUCUGCGCAAUAGAAUUCCAAAUGGUAGGGCCCAACUAUUCCUCUAUCGGCAGGGUUUGAAUUUCAAGUCAAUAUCCAUAGGGUGAACUCUAAAUGUAAUAGGUUGUAUCUAUAGGGUGAACUCUAAAUGAAACAGCUUGUCACUCUAUUCCCACCCUCCCUCUGAAGAGCAAUCGGUUAACACCCGUUUCGUUUCGCUUUUCUGGAACUUGCCUACAGCUUGCUACCUUUCCGUCCUUCCUCGUGAGAUCCUAUCUCUUUUUCUAGUUGAGCAUAUGCAUGUGUACCAGUUGGCAGAGGGAAGAAUUCUACACUACUGACUUU